AUACCUUUCUCGGCCUUUUGGCUAAGAUCAAGUGUAGUAUCUGUUCUUAUCAGUUUAAUAUCUGAUACGUGGGCCAUCGGCCCACAUGAUAUUAAAUUUAUUUUUCUAGGGGGAAAGCCCAAUAAAGUAGCUUGCUGCUUGGGCUUUCGAGUGUCGUCUGAACGUUGCACUACAGUUUGGGCCUGGCACACCCCAU